rnacentral:rRNA from 1 species
GGAAGCACCGGCUAACUCCGUGCCAGCAGCCGCGGUAAUACGGAGGGUGCAAGCGUUGUUCGGAUUUAUUGGGCGUAAAGCGCGUGUAGGCGGUUUCUUAAGUCUGAUGUGAAAGCCCUGGGCUCAACCCAGGAAGUGCAUUGGAUACUGGGAGACUUGAAUACGGGAGAGGGUAGUGGAAUUCCUAGUGUAGGAGUGAAAUCCGUAGAUAUUAGGAGGAACACCGGUGGCGAAGGCGGCUACCUGGACCGAUAUUGACGCUGAGACGCGAAAGCGUGGGGAGCAAACAGGAUUAGAUACCCUGGUAGUCCACGCCGUAAAC